rnacentral:rRNA from 1 species
GACAGAGGGGGCAAGCGUUGCUCGGAAUCACUGGGCGUAAAGGGCGCGUAGGCGGGUUGGUAAGUCGGUCGUGAAAUCCUCGGGCUCAACCCGAGGAGGUCGGCCGAGACUGCGAGUCUUGAGGGGCGCAGAGGAGCCUGGAAUUCCCGGUGUAGCGGUGAAAUGUGUAGAGAUCGGGAGGAACACCGGUGGCGAAGGCGGGGCUCUGGGCGCACCCUGACGCUGAGGCGCGAAAGCGUGGGGAGCAAACGGG